GGUUUUGUGUUGUUUCUUUAAGCAUGUGCACUACAGAGUUACCCAGAGUAAUCUAAGGGACAGCUGUUGCUGACUAUGCUGCAGCAGGACGGGAGCCGCUCUCUGCCCGUGCUGCCAGAGACGAGGCUUUCCAUCCUUUGCUUUGCACAGUCUGCUUGAUGUAAGCGCUGGCAAUUGGAGAAAGAGGACUUAAAUGGUGGGGAAAGCCCAAGGUGUAGUGCAAGCACAGACUGAACUGUAAAGCCAAAUGUUAAGGAGAGAACUCUUAAAUAAGAAGCUCUUUAAGAGGCAGAAGUGGAAGUGUGGAGGCUCAGGAAGCAAGGCAGCAAUGAUGCCUCCCUGUAUGGCAUGCCCUUGGAUUUGAUGCUUGCAUUUCCCUCUGCUUGCCAGGACCUUUUUAUCAGGAACAGUCAAUGCUACAUCAUAACAGCUCUGCAAACUACAAAAAAUUCAGCAACUGCUUCUGACAUUUAAAAACCAUUGUGAGCUUUCCUCUUUCCCUCUGCCGUGACUUGAUGGCCAGACAGGCGAAUAAGGCCCGUCCUCUGGAUGCACAAGCUGGAAAGAUAGGUCUGGUAAUGCCGCUUUCUAGUGUUAAGACCCGACCAACUUAUCUAGGACGAGACUCUUCUUAACAUGGAGAAACAAGUACCUGAAAUGGUUCCUCAGUCAGCCUGCUGGCCUCAAUAAAGUAAUUUGGCUCAGGGAAAGACACAUGCCAGUCCAUAUUUCCCACUGCAACAACAGACUUAUCAAAAUUGGUCAUGCCAGGGUCUCAAAACCUUCUUGAACAACAAUACUUCCUUGGAGACAUAGAGCUAAUGCUAGACAAAGGCCGACUUCCUGCAAUAUGCAUGUUGGUUACUGGUGCCAGAGAUUUACAACCACUGAUAAUAUAUUUUAAUUAUAUUCCAUAUCUGCGUAUCUCAGAGAAAGGAAAUAUGCUCUGUCAACCCAAAAGUAUUACUUUGCUUCAUGUAGAUUUGGAGGGGCAAGCUGGUUAUUCGCUUAGGGAAAAGCAACUACUUCAUACUUAAAGUUUCACCUACUUGGGGAAAUAGUGGGAAGGUUUCACACAUUUAUCAGCAAACACAUGGAUGCACAGCACUCAUGUAUGUGUCACCUAUUCUGUGCUUGUAAGGCCCCUUGAAUGCCUGCUGGGGAGAUCUUGCCCUCAGAGUAGCUACCAGGGCUACUAUAUGGCCAGGGACAUAGGUCAGUUGUUUGGAGAAAUGGUUCCAAAGAACAGGGUUUAAAUCCUGUUGCUGAAGGGUUGUGCUCAGGUUUUUAGAUAUGAGUUUGUUCUGGUGUAAAGAAUGGGACACUGUUUCUCUCUCUGCUGUAAAACUAGAGUCUAACAAUUUAGAAAAAAGAGUUGGAUCUUUCUCCUAAAACAAAUUCCUGUUUUUAAUGAGCAGUUCUUAAGAAAAACUUGAGCUGCUGUUGAUGGUGCCAGCAGCCUUUAAAUAUCUUACUUGCCUUCCCCAGAUCUCUGAAAGGGCUUCAGAACUCAACUGUCCUUCCUUGAGGAAUGGAGCUCUUCCUCCUCCCCAGCCUCCUACUCUUUUGAAUACCUUGUAACCUACCCAUCCUAGGAUCCAGUAAGCCUGGUGCUAGUAGGGAAUAGUUAGCUUUACUUUUGUUUCCUGCAAUUCUUGAAAGCUGAGCCAGUAAUCACAAAGCGACUGCCCAGGGAUAGUUGCAAACUGCUGCAAAUAGGAUACAAAAAAGGCAGGGAAGAGGAUGAAAUUGCAUGGAAAGGGCUGCUGCUGGAUCUGUGUAGGGCUGCAGCCUUCCCUCAAGGUGCUGAUGAUCCCUGGUAGCAUUGAAUUCCUGCAUAACUGAUCACAUAUUUCACUUUAAAUAGCUUGUCACUAAAUAUUUGUUGGUUAAACUCUUGUUUGAGGAGUCCUGAAAGAAACUUCUUGUCAGCCUUUGUUUUGGAGCUGUGUAUCAGCAAGGAAAUAAGAGGUGAGGAACCCAGUCUUGGUGUAGAAAGGGUGAAAAGACAUCUUUUUACUGGCUGUUUAUUUUGUCCCCUAAGCCUGGAUUAAAGGUAUAGGCAGUGUGUAUAUGUGAAGUUACUACAGUCCUGGAGUUGCUCCAUAGCAGUCACUGGAGCUGUACCCAAGGGUGGAACUUCAUUUGGUGUGGCACUUGUUACUCUUCUGGGAAACAGCAGAUCCUGACCACUAGUAGACUAGGAAGAAAGGUUGGUUUGCUUGUUUGUGUUUUUUUUUUAAGAAAAAGAAAAAUUACUUGAGGCAGUUAUUACAAUGUGACCCUGUCAACUGUACAAUGAAUUCCACCCUUCUGCUGCUGGUCCUGACCCUAUCUCUGCUGAAGCUGUGGGAAUGGUGACAUGCUGAGUGGUGUGAUAUUGAGGGUAUUUUUAAAGGGAAAAAAAAAUAGGGAAAGCACUCAGCAUAUGUGCUAGAAUCAAACAAGAAUGCGUAUUUGUGGAGGUCUUGCCUUGUUUUACCAGCAAUAUUUACUGCAGAAUCAUAAAUAAGAGAACCAUGGAAUGCUGGUUCAUAUUAAUGGGAGGUCUGCCCAUGAACCAAGCACUGUUGAGUAUUAGCAUAAUUUGACAACAAAGGUUUUAAUAGUGUCUUUCAAAAGAGUCUGUCUUUCAAACUGGCAUUUGUGAUCAUUUGCAAAAAUGCCUACCUGUUGCCUUUGAUUGUUUUAGCAAGAAGAAAUACCUCAAGGAAUUGAUAAAAGAUCCUAUGACAAUCUUUUACAGUUCCUAAAGACUUCAGUGGUCUCUGUUUCUUUGGUUUGCAUGUGUUCACACAGGUGUUACACAGCUCAGCUCUUCUCCACCAGGAAAAGCAGAAAAGACCAAACACAUCAAAUGCACUGGAAUGUAAUUGUGUGUGUGUGUGUGUGUGAGUGAGAGUGUUGUAUGUGUGUGUGUGUGUUCUUGAACUGAAUGCAGUCUGACAUCCCCUACCCCUUCUUUCUUCCAUGUGCCUCACCUUCCCCCUUAGCCACAGAAAGGAGGGUCUCUUCCUACGAAUCCCAUGCUGGAAGUUGGUUUCUGGGAAGCGAAACCUAAUGUCUGUGGGCUGUUUUUUAAAGCCAUGUUUCAGUUCUGUCUUCAGACUUUUUGCUGCCUUUGGGGGACAGAGGGGUGGGAAGGGUAGAUUGUUAAACUGUUUUUAAAAUCUAUUAUGGAAAUUUUGCAUGUAUAAAGUUAUUCUUAAAUCUAAAGGAGUCUCCCCAAUUUGUGGACAUGGCUCCAGGAGAGCAUCAUCACAGAUUCCUCAACUCAGUUUUAGAUGAGACUAUCCUGAAAGGAGUAUUUGAUGACAAAAGGGGGAGGGAUUGGUGUGAUGGAAGGACGACAGUGUCAGUAUAUCUUCAAAUACGUGUCAGAAGUUAGGCUUGUAAAAGGGAAAUUUUAAAGCAACCCACAGGAUAUGUAUGUCUGUUUCCACUGGGUCAUUUGAAAAUCCUGCCACUAAAUUUGAGUUUGGGUAUGUAGAUGUUGGGGUUUUUUGGUUAAAAUAAUCAUGGCUCUCUUCUAUUCUCUUCCAUGGUAUGUAGUAGAAUCUCCCAUGUUUCUAGGUGAAAUUCAUUGAUGAGAAUACUGUGAAAUAUGGAUUCACAUUUUUUUUCUCCUUCUUCCCCUCCUGCUUCCUGCAUGACUGUUCUUCAAUGGGGUAUUAAAAAAAACAAAACAAAACAAAAAAUAAAGCAACAAUGAAGUUGUUCAUCUUGAAAAUAAAAAGGGUAAGAUGAGCUAAAAUUUGCAAUGUACUUAAUAAACUUCCUCUCAGUGGAGGGUUUCCCCAUGACUUCUGAUUGUCACCAGAAUAUGAUGCUGUCCUGCUGCAGAAGUAAACCCGAUGCUCUCCUGUGAGAUUUCUGUCUGGAUUAGUCCUGAAGUGCACACACCUCCUUUGCCAUGGACUGAGACCCAGUGAGAAUGUAGCAUUUUCUUUAUCCUGGUUGUGUGCCUCCAGGACUUCUGCCUGUACCAAUGGUGAUUGGGCAGAGCUCCUUUUUUGUAUCUGUGCAGUAUAUUUGCUUUGUGCUUUCUUCUUUGGUGCUUUUUAAUACUUUAAUACUUGGAUUUUUUUUUUCUAAUAACUGGUACAAUUUUUAAUAAAAUUGUUAAAUUUG